rnacentral:lncRNA from 1 species
UUUGUAUCUCACUCCCGCCACAGCUUGGGAUCGGUCUCUGCUGUUUUACGUCCUCCACCUCGGGAGCCCCCGGUGACUGUCACAGCCUCUUGCCCUGUGAUCUGCAGGUUCUGGGAGACGCACAGCUAAGAUGCCAGGACAUCCUGGAAGCUGGGAAAAGGAUGGAGUUUCACUCUUGUUGCCCAGGCUGGAGUGCAUUAUCCCAAUCUCGGCUUACUACAACCUCCGCCUCCCAGACUCCUGACCUCAGGCGAUCCACCCACUUCCCAAAGUGCAGGGAUUACAGGUGUGAGCCACCACGCCCGGCCUCUCAACCUAUCAACCUAAUUUUUAUUCUUAGUAGACACGUUGGUGGUGAGCCAAUCAGAUGUUGUUAUUGAUGAGAAAAAGCAGAAAUGAUUUCUGUUGAUUCUUGAAAUAAAAUUUUUUCCAAAGGACAAGAAGCUCCCAUCCCAGUAAGGCAAUGCAAGAACCUGAAGCAAAAUGCACCUGAGGCUUACAGUGGGGUUCUGACAACAAAGGAGAUUGUGACAUAUUGCUGGGCCUAACACUAAGGUGAUGUUAGUUAUUUGCUUUGGCUGUGCCCUUGGAAGGCAUUGAGACAUACUGCUGUGCCCAGCACCAAGAUGAUAGGUAACGUGACUCUUCUGCUUCAGGCCUGCCAAAAGAAAAGAUUGUGACAGAUCACUGGACCCAGCACCUAG